UAGGGAAUCUUCGGCAAUGGGGGGAACCCUGACCGAGCAACGCCGCGUGAGUGAAGAAGGUUUUCGGAUCGUAAAGCUCUGUUGUUAAGGAAGAACGAGUGUGAGAAUGGAAAGUUCAUGCUGUGACGGUACUUAACCAGAAAGGGACGGCUAACUACGUGCCAGCAGCCGCGGUAAUACGUAGGUCCCGAGCGUUGUCCGGAAUCACUGGGCGUAAAGGGUUCGCAGGCGGAAAUGCAAGUCAGGUGUAAAAGGCAGUAGCUUAACUACUGUAAGCAUUUGAAACUGCAUAUCUUGAGAAGAGUAGAGGUAAGUGGAAUUUUUAGUGUAGCGGUGAAAUGCGUAGAUAUUAAAAAGAAUACCGGUGGCGAAGGCGACUUACUGGGCUCAUUCUGACGCUGAGGAACGAAAGCGUGGGUAGCAAACAGG
rnacentral:rRNA from 1 species